UUAACACUUCAUCACUGAGAGCUUUUCUUCAUUCAAACUGAAAUUAAACCACCAACAAGCAGAAUGAUGAUCAUCAGCGUCUGUAUCUGGACUCUCAUUCUUUUUGUUCAAGGAAUUACAGGACAAGUUUCUGUGACUCAGACUCCCUCAGCAGCAGCUGUUCAACCAGGAGAAACAGUUACUAUAAACUGUAAAACUAGCAGAGGAAUCGGAGAUCGUUCUUGGGGUUGUAGUGACUGUCUCGCCUGGUAUCUGCAGAAACCUGGAGAAGCUCCUAAACUCCUCAUUUAUGACAUUAGAUCACGACAGUCAGGAACUCCAUCUAGAUUCACUGGCAAUGGAGCAGAUUAUGGAACAGAUUUCACACUGACCAUCAGUGGAGUCCAGACUGAAGAUGCUGGACAUUAUUACUGUCAGAGUGUACAUCUCAUAAACAGUAAAGCAGUGUUCACACAGUGAUAAAGAGUCGUACAAAAACCUCCGUCAGUCAGAGUCACAGUGACUGAACUGAUACUGCAGCUGCUCACACACUUUCACACACUUUCACACACUACUGACACACAGAGGACAAACACAGGAACUACACAUGUGCUCAAAACUGACUUAUGACUGAAAUCAGCUCUAUUAGACUGUGAUCUGUCCUGUGACAGACGGGUUUGACUCAAAUAUGCUCAGAAUCAGAGAAAACAGAGUGUGUAAAUUGAUAUGAAAUCAAACUAACAAUAAUGGCGUCAUAUGUUGUUUUGUUUUUGUACAUUAAACUACACUAAAGUCA